GGAGUUCAGAAGUGUGCAUCUAGCACAGUAAUAGACGGCAGUGUCCUCAGUCUUCACAUUGUCCAUUUGUAGAUAUAACAUGUUAUUACUGUUAUCUCUGGAGAUUGUAAAUCGUCCCUUAACAGAAUCAUCAUAUAUUGUGCUACCCCCUCAUUCAUUUAUAUUAU